rnacentral:rRNA from 1 species
UACGGAGGAGGCAAGCGUUAUCCGGAAUUAUUGGGCGUAAAGCGUCCGCAGGUGGCACUUCAAGUCUGUCGUCAAAGACUGGGGCUUAACCCUGGAAAGGCGGUGGAAACUGAACAGCUAGAGUAUGGUAGGGGCAGAGGGAAUUCCUGGUGUAGCGGUGAAAUGCGUAGAGAUCAGGAAGAACAUCGGUGGCGAAGGCGCUCUGCUGGACCAUAACUGACACUCAGGGACGAAAGCUAGGGGAGCGAAUGGG